rnacentral:sRNA from 1 species
UGCUGCAAAAUCAGCAACCGGGCGUGGAAACCCGUUUAUCUUCAAGGCGACACAGACGCCUUUAGCGUCUUUUUU